rnacentral:rRNA from 1 species
AUUGAACGCUGGCGGAAUGCUUUACAUAUGCGAGUCGAACGGUAGAGGGGGCAACCCCUCGAGAGUGGCGAACGGGUGAGUAAUAUAUCGGAACGUGCCCAGUCGUGGGGGAUAACGUAGCGAAAGUUACGCUAAUACCGCAUACGAUCUAAGGAUGAAAGCGGGGGAUCGCAAGACCUCGCGCGAUUGGAGCGGCCGAUAUCAGAUUAGGUAGUUGGUGGGGUAAAGGCUCACCAAGCCAACGAUCUGUAGCUGGUCUGAGAGGACGACCAGCCACACUGGAACUGAGACACGGUCCAGACUCCUACGGGAGGCAGCAGUGGGGAAUUUUGGACAAUGGACGCAAGUCUGAUCCAGCCAUUCCGCGUGCAGGAUGAAGGCCCUCGGGUUGUAAACUGCUUUUGUACGGAACGAAAAGGUCUCUCUUAAUACGGGGGACUCAUGACGGUACCGUAAGAAUAAGCACCGGCUAACUACGUGCCAGCCGCCGCCGUAA